rnacentral:rRNA from 1 species
AUUGAACGCUGACGGCAGGCCUAACACAUGCAAGUCGAGCGAGCGGCGGACGGGUGUUUAAUGUAUGGGGACUGCCCGUUAGAGGGGGAUAACUACUGGAAACGGUAGCUAAUACCGCAUACUACCUGAUUACCCUUAUGGGAGUGGCUAGUAGGUGAGGUAAUGGCGCACCUAGGCGACGCUCCCUAGCUGGUCUGCGAGGAUGAUCAGCCACACUGGGACUGAGACACGGCCCAAACUCCUACGGAGGCAGCAGUGGGGAAUAUGGCACAAUGGGCGCAAGCCUGAUGCAGCCAGGCCGCGUGUAUGAAGAAGGCCCUAGGGUUGUAAAGUACAUUCAGUCGGGAGGCGUUACCGACAGAAGAAGCACCGGCUAACUCCGUGCCAGCAGCCGCGGUAAUUC